rnacentral:SRP_RNA from 1 species
ACUGAGUGCAGUGGUGCAUGCCUGUAGUCCCUGCUCUUCAGGAGGCUGAGGCAGGAGGAUCGCUUGGGCUGUAGUGCACUAUGCUGCUCUGGUGUCCACACUAAGUUUAGCGUUAAUAUGGUGACCUCCUGGGGGCAGGGGAUCACCAGGUUACCUAAAGAGGGGUGAGCCAGCCCAGGUCAGAAAUUAAGCAGGUCAAAACUCCCAUGCUGAUGAGUAGUGGGAUCAUACCUGUGAAUAGACAGACACUGUGCUCCAGCCUGGGCAACAUAGUGAGACCCUAUAUCU